UAAGGUAUAGCUCAGUGGUAGAGUGAGUGCUUAGGGUGUACGAGGUCCAGGGUUCAAUCCCCAGUACCUCCA
rnacentral:tRNA from 1 species